UACGUAGGGUGCAAGCGUUGUCCGGAAUUAUUGGGCGUAAAGAGCUCGUAGGCGGUCUGUCGCGUCGGCUGUGAAAGUCCAAGGCUCAACCUUGGGAUGCCGGUCGAUACUGCCGGACUAGAGUUCGGAAGAGGCGAGUGGAAUUCCCGGUGUAGCGGUGAAAUGCGCAGAUAUCGGGAGGAACACCUAUGGCGAAGGCAGCUCGCUGGGACGUUACUGACGCUGAGACGCGAAAGCGUGGGGAGCAAACAGG
rnacentral:rRNA from 1 species